CCUACGGGUGGCAGCAGUGGGGAAUAUUGGACAAUGGGGGGAACCCUGAUCCAGCGACGCCGCGUGAGUGAAGCAGUAUUUCGGUAUGUAAAGCUCUAUCAGCAGGGAAGAAAGAAAUGACGGUACCUGACUAAGAAGCCCCGGCUAACUACGUGCCAGCAGCCGCGGUAAUACGUAGGGGGCAAGCGUUAUCCGGAUUUACUGGGUGUAAAGGGAGCGUAGACGGCGAUGCAAGUCUGAAGUGAAAGGCGGGGGCCCAACCCCCGGACUGCUUUGGAAACUGUAUGGCUGGAGUGCAGGAGAGGUAAGUGGAAUUCCUAGUGUAGCGGUGAAAUGCGUAGAUAUUAGGAGGAACACCGGUGGCGAAGGCGGCCUGCUGGACUGCAACUGACGUUGAGGCCCGAAAGCGUGGGGAGCAAACAGGAUUAGAUACCCCGGUAGUC
rnacentral:rRNA from 1 species